CACGUAGGGGGCGAGCGUUGUCCGGAUUUAUUGGGCGUAAAGAGCUCGUAGGCGGUUCAGUAAGUCGGGUGUGAAACCCCCGGGCUCAACCCGGGGACGCCACCUGAUACUGCUGUGACUUGAGUCCGGUAGGGGAGCGUGGAAUUCCUGGUGUAGCGGUGAAAUGCGCAGAUAUCGGGAAGAACACCCAUGGCGAAGGCAGCUCUCUGGGACGGUACUGACGCUGAGACGCGAAAGCGUGGGGAGCGAACAGG
rnacentral:rRNA from 1 species